GGGAGCGUAGCUCAAUUGGCAGAGCAUCAAGCUUAUACCUUGAGGGUUCUAGGUUCGAGUCCUAGCGCUCCCA
rnacentral:tRNA from 1 species